GGUUUCAGAUACGACGUCUACCGACGUGCACCAGCCUCAUCACUUAGGCACACACAUUAACCCAAUCUACGUGAAUUAUUCCAAAAGAUGACGCGUGGAGUGCUUAACAAUACGCUAUACCGUCAGCUGCUCGUUGAAACUGACAAUAGAGGAUGAGACGAUCCAAGAUGGAAACGUAAUUUCAACUCCAGCCGAGACUGGAUGGAGGCCAACAACUCAAAGUGUCUGCUAUCGCGACACCGUCAUUUUGUACGUACACGUAGAGUGAGGCUAUAGAAAGAAAUCUCUAUUACUCUAUCAGUAUUGAUCUUUUAAAUAAUAGUUCAGCUGCAAAAAUAUCCGAU
rnacentral:misc_RNA from 1 species